rnacentral:rRNA from 1 species
CGUAGGUAACCUGCCUGGUAGCGGGGGAUAACUAUUGAAACGAUAGCUAAUACCGCAUAAUAGCAGUUAUUGCAUGAUAACUGUUUGAAAGGUGCAAUUGCAUCACUACCAGAUGGACCUGCGUUGUAUUAGCUAGUUGGUGGGGUAACGGCUCACCAAGGCGACGAUACAUAGCCGACCUGAGAGGGUGAUCGGCCACACUGGGACUGAGACACGGCCCAG